AAGUCGUAACAAGGUUUCCGUAGGUGAACCUGCGGAAGGAUCAUUAAUGAAAACUUCAGGAGUUGCUGCUGGCCUCUCGAGGCAUUCGUGCACGCUCCGUUUUUCAUCCACCCACACCUGUGCACAAUUCAAUUUGAGAGGGAAAGAAAAGGCGGAGGGAUUUCUUCGGAGUUCUCUUCAAUCUCUUUUUCCUUCCAAAUUAUUUAACACACUCUACGAAAUUAUCAGAACGAACAUGUUUAUUUGUAAACAAACUUAACAACUUUCAACAACGGAUCUCUUGGCUCUC
rnacentral:misc_RNA from 1 species